AACGAACGCUGGCGGCAGGCUUAACACAUGCAAGUCGAGCGCCCCGCAAGGGGAGCGGCAGACGGGUGAGUAACGCGCGGGAAUCUACCCAUCUCUACGGAAUAACGCAUGGAACGUGUGCUAAUACCGUAUACGUCCUUCGGGAGAAAGAUUUAUCGGAGAUGGAUGAGCCCGCGUUGGAUUAGCUAGUUGGUGGGGUAAAGGCCUACCAAGGCGACGAUCCAUAGCUGGUCUGAGAGGAUGAUCAGCCACACUGGGACUGAGACACGGCCCAGACUCCUACGGGAGGCAGCAGUGGGGAAUAUUGGACAAUGGGCGCAAGCCUGAUCCAGCCAUGCCGCGUGAGUGAUGAAGGCCCUAGGGUUGUAAAGCUCUUUCACCGGUGAAGAUAAUGACGGUAACCGGAGAAGAAGCCCCGGCUAACUUCGUGCCAGCAGCCGCCGUAA
rnacentral:rRNA from 1 species